GGUGCUGAGGAUAGUGGCUGCCGCCAUGAUAGAACAGCAGAAGCGAAAGGGUCCGGAGUUACCCUUGGUCCCAGUCAAGCGGCAGCGGCAUGACUUGCUCUUGGGAGCAGCGGGGUCGGGCACCGGUGCAGGGCAGCAGCAAGGAGCUUUGCUGCAAGCGGGACCUCCAAGGUGUUCCUCCCUUCAAGCCCCAAUCAUGCUGCUGUCAGGGCAUGAAGGAGAAGUGUACUGUUGCAAGUUUCACCCGAAUGGAUCCACCUUAGCAUCUGCAGGAUUUGACCGACUGAUACUGUUGUGGAAUGUCUAUGGUGACUGUGAUAACUAUGCCACAUUGAAGGGACACAGUGGAGCUGUGAUGGAACUGCAUUAUAACACAGACGGCAGUAUGCUCUUCUCAGCAUCCACAGAUAAAACUGUAGCUGUGUGGGAUAGUGAGACAGGCGAGAGGGUUAAAAGACUGAAGGGACAUACUUCCUUUGUGAAUUCCUGUUAUCCGGCCAGGAGAGGUCCCCAGCUUGUCUGCACUGGCAGUGACGAUGGUACAGUUAAGCUUUGGGAUAUCCGUAAGAAAGCAGCCAUCCAAACAUUUCAAAACACCUACCAGGUGUUAGCUGUGACCUUCAAUGACACAAGUGAUCAGAUUAUUUCUGGUGGCAUAGACAAUGAUAUCAAGGUCUGGGACCUGCGCCAAAACAAGUUAACCUACACCAUGAGAGGCCAUGCAGAUUCAGUGACUGGCCUGAGUUUAAGUUCUGAAGGCUCUUAUCUCUUGUCCAAUGCAAUGGACAAUACAGUGCGAGUCUGGGAUGUCCGGCCAUUUGCCCCCAAAGAGAGAUGUGUGAAGAUAUUUCAGGGAAAUGUGCACAAUUUUGAAAAGAAUCUUCUGAGAUGUUCUUGGUCACCUGAUGGAAGCAAAAUAGCUGCUGGCUCAGCUGACAGGUAAGGAUUACUGGGUGUGGGGUAAAGAAUGAUGUAGCUAUGCAGGUAUCUUAUGUUUAAUACAUGAAGUGCGGAUACUGAGCUAGAGCAGACGGAGUUAUAGCUGUACUCAGAGAUGCGGUAUAAAGAUGCAGAAUGAAGGGUUUAAAGAUCAUGUUGGACAAACACGUCAUUUCUGUCCUCUUUUGAUGUGUUUUAGACCUGAAGGGUAAAAAUUUUCUUUGUUUCGUUGAAUUCCCUUUGCUACCAAAAUAAAAUUCAGACUCAUAAUCUGGCACUAGUUUCCCUUAUCAGAUCCAUCUCCUGUCACACUUCAGCCCAUUCAAAUACAUAUUGAGCACUCACCUCCCGACCAUAAUCACGGUGCUUCAUUUACAUGGAACUUUUCCUAUUCCAACCUACUUGUGUGUUCUCACUUCUAGGCCUGCUCUCAUAUCCCCUUUUCUCCAUUAUCCAAACUCCUAUAUGUCUCUAAUAACCACCUCAAUGUUAUGUCCCUGAUCCUCUCUCCCUGCUGCCUCUCAGGCAUAACCAAUUGCUCUUUUUUCUGUGCUGUUUUCACACUUCAUACAUCUAACCUUAAUUAAUGUUUAUUACAUCUUACAGUCAGACAAACAUAGUGGGGAACCUCGACUGAAUUAUUUGCUCCUACUGGUCAGGGACUGGGUCUUAGUCGUCUUUGAACCCAGGGGAGUGCUUGACAGUGUUUGACAUAUUCUUGGCACUUAUUGAGUAUUGCAUGAAUGAAUUCCUGGCUCCAGGAUAGCAGUCAAAUUUAACUUACCCAUCAGCUCAACUAUUGGUGAUGACUGCCCGUGUUGAGGAUGAGUCAGAGGUGGAUCAGGGUCAGUGGGAAAAGUGCUGUGAUUGCUGAGUGAGGGCAUGGCAACUUGUGGAUUAGGUGUUUUCCAACCCUGAGCUGAGUUAAGAGACUGCGAGGCUUUCUUAAAUGCAAAUUUAAACUGACUCAGUCAUUGUAUGAUGAACUACAAACAUAGGGAGAGAAUUCUUCUGUCAGGAUGCUGUUGUAUGUGGUAUGUCUAUGGUGACCUGUACUUGGGAGCGAUUCAGAGGUUGAAUGGGAUAUCCAGGUGCCAGGAUUGAUAGACUACAAAUAUGAGAUGGUAAAGAAUGAUGAAUCUCACUGAUGGCAAAUCCUGGGUUUAGCUACUGCUAUGAAAUGUCUCGAUCCUUUUUACCUUAACCCUGUUUUUCUUCCCUUUAGUGAUUCUCUUGCUGUCUACCAAAACAAGCACCGUUCUAUCAACAGGAACCCUUUCCUGGGCUAGCUAGGGUUUUCAGCAUGUUCCAGGGUUUUCCCAUAUUUGGGACCCUAAUACAGUUUGUGUAUGUGUGGGAUACCACAAGUAGAAGAAUACUAUAUAAGCUGCCUGGCCAUGCUGGCUCCAUCAAUGAAGUGGCUUUCCACCCUGACGAGCCCAUCAUUCUCUCAGCAUCC